rnacentral:rRNA from 2 species
AAUCCAUAGGUUAAUGAGGCGAACCGGGGGAACUGAAACAUCUAAGUACCCCGAGGAAAAGAAAUCAACCGAGAUUCCCCCAGUAGCGGCGAGCGAACGGGGAGGAGCCCAGAGCCUGAAUCAGCAUGUGUGUUAGUGGAAGCGUCUGGAAAGGCGCGCGAUACAGGGUGACAGCCCCGUACACAAAAGCGCAUGUGCUGUGAGCUCGAUGAGUAGGGCGGGACACGUGGUAUCCUGUCUGAAUAUGGGGGGACCAUCCUCCAAGGCUAAAUACUCCUGACUGACCGAUAGUGAACCAGUACCGUGAGGGAAAGGCGAAAAGAACCCCGGCGAGGGGAGUGAAAAAGAACCUGAAACCGUGUACGUACAAGCAGUGGGAGCACAGGUUUACCUGUGUGACUGCGUACCUUUUGUAUAAUGGGUCAGCGACUUAUA